rnacentral:tRNA from 1 species
GGUCACGUGAUGGAGUUGGUCACCAUACCUGUCUAACAUUCAUUGAAUGUCUUUCACAGGAGGUCGGCGGUUCGAUGCCGCCCGGGAUCA